rnacentral:rRNA from 1 species
AAUGGAGGAAACUCUGAUCCAGCCAUGCCGCGUGAUAGAUGAAGGCCCUCUGGGUUGUAAAUAUCUUUUAUCUGGGAAGAAACACUCCUAUUCUUAGGAACUUGACGGUACCAGAGGAAUAAGCACCGGCUAACUCCGUGCCAGCAGCCGCGGUAAUACGGAGGGUGCAAGCGUUAUCCGGAUUCACUGGGUUUAAAGGGUGCGUAGGCGGGCUGAUAAGUCAGUGGUGAAAGCUCCGAGCUUAACUUGGAAACUGCCAUUGAUACUGUUAGUCUUGAAUAUCGUAGAGGUAAGCGGAAUGUUGCAUGUAGCGGUGAAAUGCUUAGAUAUGUUACAGAACACCAAUUGCGAAGGCAGCUUACUAUGCGAUGAUUGACGCUGAGGCACGAAAGCGUGGGGAGCAAA